UCUCACUAGAGCUUCCAGCAAAGCAUGGCUGUCCUGGUGCUGCUCCUCUGCCUGGUGACAUUUCCAAGUUGUGUCUUUUCCCAGGUACAGCUGAAGGAGACAGGACCUGGCCUGGUGAGGCCCUCACAGACCCUGUCUCUCACCUGCACUGUCUCUGGGUUCUCAUAACCAGCUAUGAUAUAAGCUGGAUUCGCCAGCCUCCAGGAAAGGGUCUGGAGUGGAUGGGAGUAAUAUGGAGUGAUGGAAUAACAAAGUACAGUUCAUCUCUCCAAUCUCGAAUCACCAUCAGCAGGGACACCUCCAAGAGUGAAGUCUUCUUAAAAUUGAACAGUGUGCAUAUUGAAGACACAGCCAUAUAUUACUGUGCCAGAAACACAUGUGCACAUCCCUACUGCCUCCAACUGUCACCAGCACUUUCCAUAGCAUCUGAGUUCUAUGAAAAAGACAAGGACAAGAACACUCUGUACCUGGAAAUAGGCAGUCUGAGGUCUGAGGACACAGCCAUGUAUUACUGUGCAAAGUACACAGCUAGAGCUCAGAUGCAAACCUCCCUGCAGGUUCCUAAGGACCAGCAGGGGGCACUAAGUUCACACACAGCUCUGGGUCACAGUUGA